rnacentral:rRNA from 1 species
UACAGAGGGGGCAAGCGUUGUUCGGAAUUACUGGGCGUAAAGGGCGCGUAGGCGGCCGCCUAAGUCAGACGUGAAAUCCCUCGGCUCAACCGGGGAACUGCGUCUGAUACUGGGUGGCUUGAAUCCGGGAGAGGGAUGCGGAAUUCCAGGUGUAGCGGUGAAAUGCGUAGAUAUCUGGAGGAACACCGGUGGCGAAGGCGGCCUGCUGGGCAGUAGCUGACACUGAGGCGCGACAGCGUGGGGAGCAAACAGG